rnacentral:tRNA from 1 species
GCUUCGGUAGCUCAAUUGGUUAGAGCAUCCGCCUGUCGAGCGGAAGGUUGCGGGUUCAAGUCCCGUCCGUCGCGC